rnacentral:rRNA from 1 species
GACGAACCGUGCGAACGUUGUUCGGAAUCAUUGGGCUUAAAGGGCGCGUAGGCGGCGAUAUAAGUUGGAAGUGAAAUCCCAUCGGCUCAACCGUGGAAUAGCUCCCAGUACUGUAUCGCUCGAGGGGGAUAGGGGUCUGCGGAACUACCGGUGGAGCGGUGAAAUGUGUUGAUAUCGGUGGGAACGCCAGUGGCGAAAGCGGCAGACUUGACCCUUCCUGACGCUGAGUGCGCGAAAGCUAGGGGAGCAAACGGG